GUCUCAUUUCUCGCGAAGAAGCUGCCCAGUUCACCCCUGGCCAAUUCCUCCAGGCUGGAGUUGGCUCUGGAGCCGAUUGGUUGAAAGCUCUUCAUGUUCCUCACGCCCUUGACUUCGUCAAACCUUGAAAUGAAACACAAUUUCUAUUCCUUCAGUUUUAUUUAUGAGAGUGUGCGAUGAUGAUGCAUAGACAACUAUUAUUCUUUGUAAUUAUCUCCCUGAUUAAAAUAUAAAAAUUCUUCCAUGAUACUUCUUCUUCUAUCUUUUUUUUCUAAUUAAUGAAUUCAUUUCUUGUAAACUUAAUUCGAUUAAUUCCUUUGAGCGCAUACUAAUAAUAAUAAUAAUAAUAAUAUGGUACAUAUUUUUGAUUAAGGGACAUAUUUCUUCAGGACACAUGACAAAAUUGUUACUUUUCAUACAUAUGGUACUUUUUCUAUCAAGUGAUUUGAGGUAUAUUUUAAUUGUGAUCUUUUUUUAAGUUACACUCAUACACAAUUAUUUAUUUUGUGUUCGUCUAAUGUGUUAUAUAGAUUCAUAUUAGAGUCUAGAGAUUCUUUUUUGCACAAGAGAAACUUUGUCACAAAGUUAGCAGGAUAACGACUAAUUUCUUUAAGCUUGUAAAAUCUUUAACAUACCUUUGUCUCUAUAUUUUUAGAAUUCUAUUUUUUUUUGCUUGUAGAAUAAUUAUGAUAACUGCUUAUAAUUUUUUAUAUCUCUCUAUGAUAGGUAAUGUGUGUUUUUUCUUUUUCUUUUCUCGACAAAUAUUAUUGUUAGUUUUUGUUAGUGUGGGAGUUAAACUCACAACCUUUUUCACCUUUCUUCCCAAAUCCUUCAAACUAGCCUUAUAUCUCAUAAAUGUUAACGGGGAAGUUGAACUCACAACCUUUCUCAUCUUCUUUCCAACUUUUACAAUCAGGUCAACCUUAUAGCUCCAUAUGUUCGGUUAUGGGUGCUACAUUUUUUUUUAGAUUUCCACAGUUUUGACUUGUGCUUUUUGAUGCGUAAAAAGUUUGAAGGUGCUUCUUUAUUUUAUAUGUUUUUCAGUGAUAAAAAAAAUCAAUCUACUUCUUUAUUAGGUAUUUGGUCAUCAAUAUAUGUAGUCCAUUGAAAAUAAGAUUAACUUCAAUCUUGUGAAAAUAUUCAGUUACCUUAAUAUAAGUACUAAGUAACAAGGUGAAUCAAUUUUCAAAUACUCCUAAGUUUUCGAAGCCAUUUUCUCAUGAUCAAGGCUUUACUAUAGGUGUUUCGGGUAUGAGGCCUAGUCUUCUUGUUUAGCUAACCGGUCUUUAACUGGAUGCUCACAAUCCAAAGUUUUAUUUGUCAAACACCGAUCAAGGAUACCUAUUAAAGGUUUUUUAAUGUCAAAGUCAAUCUGCUUUAACUCGACCAAUCGAUCUCUACAGGGAUUAGGCUGUCCGGUCUUAUAAAGUUAACGUUUGACUGAUAAUUGAUCGGAUGGGUACAUUGUACAAUGAAAAACCUUGAAAAUCUCCCCAUAAAUAGAAUAUGCACCAUAAAAAAAGGAGAGAUAAAGACAUUUAAAUACUAUACCUUAAAAUUCAAUUUUUUAGUUUAACCUAAUUCUAAAUCAGAAUAAAAUCCAACUUAAAUAGCUCAUUGAUCAUGAAAAGUGGAAGGUGACUUUUUACAUUUUAAUUUCUUAAGGACUCAAUGUUGGUUAUGAGUUUGAUAUAGUGAUACAGUGUUUGAGUUGUUAGUACUUGUUUUAUUGUUUAAAUGGCUGAUAUUUUAACACUCAGAAAAAUACAUCCAUUAUAAGACCUAAAAUAUUACUAUACAUAUUUUAGUUAAUGUUUUGAGAGUAUGAGAUAAAGUGUUCACUUAAAAUAGUAUAUCUUACUUUUUAGUUUCUUUCCUUACUAUUUAGAUACUUUUACUCAUUAAGUUUACCCGCUAAAGAUAAUGCUUAACUCAGUUUAUAUUUGAUAAGUCAAACAAUUAAUGUUUUAAUAAAUGCAUUGUAAAAGUCUCAAUAAUUAUACUUUUGACUUAUAUUUAUUUAUUUUCUAUAGACUUCUGAUUAUAUUGAUUAUUUCUGCCUAAUCACAAUUCAAUAAACUUGAUUACUGUCAUGGUUAACUUAAUUAGAUGAUUGGUCUUCUUCCAAUUUAAAUGAUCAAUUUAGGAUAAUUUGAUCGAUACGUAUUGUUAACAAAAAAAAUUAUUAUAUUAUUAUUAAAAAAAUAUAAGUGGACAAACUUUCUUGAAUUAGCCUAAAGUAUAUUUUUCUUAUAUAGGAUAUGUAUCCAAUGCACACUACCUGAGGUAGAUGGAGACUGAACAAUUAUUCUUUUAUAAAUGGAAAAUUAUUCCUUCACAUUCACAGUUUUCUCUUAUUUCUAAUUCACAAUCUAUUAUAGUAAUUUAAUAAGGUAUGUUAGAAUUUUAAGUUAAAAAUGAAAUGAAUAAAAUAAAAAUUAUUAUAUUGAAUUGUCAAAUGAUUAUAUUUUAUUUCGUGGGUGUCAAAGUAUAACCAACCUAUACAAUGUCUCUUUUCUGAUUAAAAAGAAAAACUUGAUAAACAUGCAAAUACAGCCAAUUGCUAGAGUUACCACACUCCAAUAGUUGAGUAAACAAAUUUAAGACCCAUACAAUAAACGUUUUUGAGAGAUUUUUUUUAUCACCAUUUUGUCUGUAUUUUCCUUCUACGAUAUAUGUUCAUAGUGGGAGAAAGCAUGAGAUAAAAAAAAAUCAAACAAAUUAUGGGACUAAGAAGAACAUGUAAAGCGGAAAUGUAAAAGGAAUGUAAGAAAGUAAGCCUAAAAAAAUUUAAGUCCAUAUUAAAUAAAAGAAAAGAGAAAUUUUUUUUUAACAAUUUUUUUUUUACAACGUGGUAGCUUGUGAUUUGUCCACUUCAAAUAUUUUUUUUUUAAAAUAAAUUCGAACAAACCAAUAAAAUAGUGACACAUAUCCUAUUUAUUAAAAAAUGGUGUUAAAAUUUCAGAAUCCAAAAGAAAAAGAAAAAUCACAUUUUUAUCUUCGUUUUUAUAUAACAAUAUGUAAAUGAUGAAGAUUUUUUUUAUUUAAUUAUUCAUUUUAUUUCUAAAAUUAAAAUGUACUUUUCCACUUUAUUAAUUCGUUUUCCACUUUAUAUUUUCUGUUUGUAUAAUGAAAGCAGCAUAUAAAAUAUAGGAGAAUAUAAUUUGAAUCAUAUAAUAAUUGCGCAAUAAAUCUAAACAAACAUCAUUUAUUAAAUUCUAAUAAUUUUGACCAUAUAAGGUGAAAAAAAACUCAAAUAACUUUUCUUACGUGCCCAAGUGAUGAAUCGAGUAUAACCCAAAUGAUCAAUCAAGUAUAACAAAAUAAUCAAAAUAACUAAAUAAAGUUAAGAAAAAGAAUUGUGAUCAUUUAUAACAAAAAAAAAUCCAAUUUAUGUGUCCCUUUAAUAUUCUUAAAUUUCAUAGACAUACACACACUCUUUAAUCAAUAUAAAAAUAACAUUGGUAUAUAUUAUUACAAAGAUUCAAUGGAUUAGAAAGUUUAGGUAUCAGAGUACACAAUAUGAUAACAUAAGAAAGUAACACUGAAGUAUUCUUCUCUUUAAUUAUGAGUUUCUUCCUGGCUAACAGUUGGACAAUAUAACACAUUAAUUAUACGAUUUUAUUUAAUAUGAUUAGAAUUAAUUAUCACACCUCUUAUUUUGGAGUUUCAAACACAUUUUCUGUUUUAGUUUGCACUACGAUGGGUCCAUAAUAUGAAAAAAUAUAAAAAUUAAAAUAUACAUAAGAGACAUAAAAGUUAUAAGAAAUUAUUAGAUUAAGUUUACACAUUUUACCGUAAUAUAUUACUAGUAACAUAAUAAUGAAAACUACAGGAAGAAACAAAUAGGUAUAGAAGUUUUCUACAUUCUUCUGCCAUGACAGUCAUACUUUCUAAAAGAAAGGAUGGGAUCGACUGAAUAUGGUAUCUCCAAAUAUAGGUUGAACCAAAAACAGAAGGCCAAUUAUAGAGUUUGUUGGAUCGGAUUGAACGGUGAAAAAAGGUGGAAGGAACACUAUAUAAACUCUCCCCUUCCUCAUUAUUCUUCACCAGCAUCUCAACAAUAGCCUCCCCCUAAAUUUCAAGGGGAGGAGUAAUAAGCCUAUAAUUUUUUUUUCCACCACCAUCUUUGGGAGAAAAAGGGAUUUGAGGCAAAAAAAAUAAAAGAUGUCUGGAAAAAUAAUUAUCUCCGCAGUUUCUCUCAUCCUUGUAGUAGGUGUUGCAAUUGGGGUUGUGGUUAGUGUUAACAAGAAAGGUGAGGAAUCAUCCAUCCAAUCCAAUCAAAAAUCUCUUGAUAUUAUUUGUCAAAACACCGAUGACAAACAACUUUGCCACAACACUUUGAGCUCCGUUAAGGGUCUUGACACUACUGAUCCUAAGGCUUACAUUGCCACAGCAGUGAAAGCAACCAUGGACAGUGUGAUCAAAGCGUUCAACAUGAGUGACAGACUCACCACUGAGCACGGAGACACAGACAACAGCACUAAAAUGGCCCUUGAUGAUUGCAAGGACUUAUUGCAAUAUGCCAUCCAAAGUCUUCAACUCAGCACUGACAUGGUGCAAAAUAACAACAUCCAAGCCGUGCAUGACCAAACUGCUGAUUUCAAGAAUUGGCUUAGUGCAGUUAUCUCAUACCAACAGGCGUGCAUGGAAGGCUUCGACGAUGGCAAAGAAGGUGAGAAGAAGAUCAAGGAUCAAUUCCAAACAGAGAGCUUAGACCAAGUGCAAAAACUCACUGCCAUCACCCUCGAUAUUGUGAGUGGAUUGUCACAUAUCCUUGAGAAAUUCGGGUUGAAGUUAAACCUUAAACCCGCUUCUCGUCGUCUUCUCAGCAAGGAUGGGUACCCUACUUGGUUCUCUGCCUCAGAUCGCAAGCUCUUGGCUCAGCUUGGACGUAAAGGAUGGAGAGCAAACAUCACACCCAAUGUUGUAGUUGCCCAGGAUGGCUCUGGUCAAUUUAAAACCAUUGCUGAGGCAAUUGCUUCUUACCCCAACAACUUCCAAGGUAGAUAUAACAUCUAUGUUAAGGCUGGUGUCUAUGAUGAAUACAUCACUGUUCCUAAAAACGCCGUCAAUAUUCUCCUCUAUGGUGAUGGCCCUGGAAAGACCGUUGUCACUGGUCACAAGAACUUCCGUGAUGGUGUGAAGACAAUGCAAACUGCCACUUUUGCCAACACUGCUCAGGGAUUCAUUGCCAAGGCAAUGACAUUCGAGAACACUGCUGGAGCUGACGGACACCAAGCUGUGGCUUUUAGGAAUCAAGGAGACAUGUCAGCAAUUAUUGGCUGCCACAUUUUGGGUUACCAAGACACCUUGUAUGCCCAAACCAACAGACAAUUCUAUCGCAAUUGUGUCAUCUCCGGCACCAUUGACUUCAUCUUUGGCACCUCACCCACUGUGAUCCAACACUCUGUCAUCAUCGUAAGGAAACCCCUUGACAACCAAUUAAACACCAUUACUGCAGACGGUACAUCCGCGAAGAACAUGAACACUGGAAUCGUUAUCCAAGAUUGUGAGAUUGUGCCCGAAGCUGAGCUCUUCCCAGUGAGGUUCCAAAUUAAGUCCUACUUGGGCAGGCCAUGGAAGCAGUACUCAAGGACUGUGGUGAUGGAAUCCACCAUUGGUGACUUCCUUCACCCUGAAGGAUGGUGCCCUUGGGCAGGCGAAUACUUUGAAGACACCUUGUACUACGCUGAGUACAACAAUGCUGGACCUGGUGCCGCGGUGGAGGGAAGAAUCAAGUGGAAGGGUUAUCACGGUCUCAUUUCUCGCGAAGAAGCUGCCCAGUUCACCCCUGGACAAUUCCUUCAGGCUGGAGUUGGCUCUGGAACCGAUUGGUUGAAAGCUCUUCAUGUUCCACAUGCCCUUGACUUCGUCAAACCUUGAAAUCAAACAUAGUUUCCAUUCCUUCAAGUGUGAGAUGAUAAGCGGAGAUAAUUAUCAUUCUUUGUAAUUUAUUUUUUAUAUUAAAAUAUAGAAAAUAAGAACAUAAAAAUCUUUCCACUACUUCGCUUCUGUUUAUUUCUAUUUUAUAACGAAGGAAUCCAAUUUUUACCAACUUAAUUUACUAAUUUCUUUU
rnacentral:lncRNA from 1 species